GCUAGUUCCCAGCCCCUCCAAGCGUUUCCUGGUCCACGUAACCAAUAACAGCAACAAGAAGUGGAGGUUUAUUGUCUGGCUAUAGACAGCACGAGAAAGAAAGUUAGCUUCCCACCCCCAGCAGCUGCGAUGAUUGGAAAACGAGCCUGAGCCUCUUCACUGAAAGAGCACACCUUCUCCCAGAUGCAUCUUCCUCCUGGGGUUGUUGUAGGAUUUAAGAAAAUGAAGUCAUAUAAAGGGCUCACAAUAGUGUCUGGAUCACAGCAGAAGAGAUGUGAGCAGAUUACCGUCUCUGUCCUUAAAAGGUGUGGCCCUGCAUUCCCUGAGAAGGCAUAGCGGGGGCAGUCAUCUGGAGCCACCAGACAGGAGCUGCAGCUUGAUAAAAGGUGCUUGGUUCCAGUGACUGUGGAGCUGCCUGCCAGCACUAGAGGAGUCACAGAAAUGUCUAGACCAGUCAUAGAGACAUCUACAUGACAGAAAAAUAAACAACUAUGUUGUUUAAGCCAUUAUUAGUCAGUCUUUUCGUUCAAGCAGCUAAACAUGUAUUUUAGUUAAUACCAAGACAGCUCUGUAAGUCUGAUCCAUCCUGAAGAACUGAAAGGAGAUCAUAUGCCAGAGAUAUCAGGCCAAGAAGUUACAAUAGUGCUUCUCACGGUUCUGGACACAGAUGGGACCCCAGUAAACCUAGAUCAAACCAUAGGGAAGAGCAGAUGGAUGACCAUGUGGAAGCACAGUGUAUCAGCCUCAGACAUCACAGGCCCUCCAGGACAUGAAUAAUAGGUGAUAAGAAAUCCACCCUCCAUCUCCCCCACUUCUCAAUGGAACAAUCUUAAUGUCAACAUUUGGUGGUGAAGAGAAGGCAGAGAAAGCAACAAUUGCCCAACUUUUGGCACUUUGCAGCCAUCCAAGGGAAUGUGAUUCUUCAAACCUAUGAUACUCUUUUGUAAUCCAUGCUUUCAAAAACUGUUCCCUUCUCUUGGAAUGUCCCUUCCUUCUUUACAAAGUAUGGUGCAUUCAGCUAAGUGGCUCUCACCAUUCAUUCUCAAUUUCUAGUAUUUUCCUUUUACUGCAAAUCCUAGAAAGCUUAAAACUACUUUUCCCAGACUCCCUUGCAACUAAGUUUCUGGAUGUAUAUUAGUUCUCUGCACCUCCUACCAGAUGCACUCAUGUGAGAUUUGGAAGGUAGCAAUAAAUGCAUUUUCUUGCUGCUUUGGCUAUUU